UAGGGAAUCUUCCACAAUGGACGCAAGUCUGAUGGAGCAACGCCGCGUGAGUGAAGAAGGUUUUCGGAUCGUAAAGCUCUGUUGUUGGUGAAGAAGGACAUGGGUAGUAACUGAUCUAUGUUUGACGGUAAUCAACCAGAAAGUCACGGCUAACUACGUG
rnacentral:rRNA from 1 species